GCUGGCGUGCAGUGCCAUGAUCUCGGCUCACUACAACCUCCAUCUCCCAGCUUCCAGCGAUUCUCCUGCUUCAGCCUCCUGAGUAGCUGGGAUUAGAGGCACCCCCAACCAUGCCUGGCUAAUUUUUGUAUUUUUAGUAGAGACAGGGUUUCACCGCGUUGGCCAGGCUGGUCUCAAACUCCUGACCUCAAGUGAUCCUCCCGCCUCUGCCUCCCAAAGUGCUGAGAUUACCAUGCCCGGCCUGUGACUGAGUCUUAGGUGAUGGAAUGUGAGCGGAAGUGAUACACAUCACUUGUUGGAACUUCAGUGCAGAGGGUUGAAGUAAUCAUAUUCUUCAGUUGAAGAGACUAAAACAACUUUACCAGAUUGAAACACUCAAGACAAAGGAGCCCAGGAACAAAAUUCAUCAGAAAACUAGAGGAAGUUUUCAUGGAGUUGCUGUUGAUUCUAAGGAAGCCAACAGCCGUGUUGUGAGUACCCAAUGGAAAGUCUGUUGUGGCAGAAAACUGAUGUCUCCAGCCAACAGCACUGAGGCCCUGAGACCUGCCAACUGUCAUGUUACAUCUCAAGGA
rnacentral:lncRNA from 10 species